rnacentral:rRNA from 1 species
GAUGAACGCUAGCGGCAGGCCUAAUACAUGCAAGACGAACGGUAAGUUGAGUAGCAAUACUUAGCCAAGAGUGUCGUACGGGUGCGUAACACGUAUGCAACCUACCCUAUACAGGAGGAUAGCCUAGGGAAACCUGGAUUAACCCUUCAUAGUAUUAUUGGAUGGCAUCAUUUGAUAAUUAAAACUGAGGUGGUAUAGGAUGGGCAUGCGUCUGAUUAGUUAGUUGGCGGGGUAAUGGCCCACCAAGACGAUGAUCAGUAGGGGUUCUGAGAGGAAGAUCCCCCACACUGGCACUGAGAUACGGGCCAGACUCCUACGGGGAGGCAGCAGUAGGGAAUAUUGGGUCAAUGGAUGCAAGUCUGAACCAGCCAUGCCGCGUGCAGGAAGAAGGCCUUCUGGGUUGUAAACUGCUUUUGCCAGGGGAUAAAUUUCCAUGCGUGGAAACUGAGGUACCUGGUGAAUAAGCCACGGCUAACUACGUGCCAGCAGCCGCGGUAAU